rnacentral:tRNA from 1 species
UUGGAUGUAGCUCAGCUUGGUAGAGCGUGUGCUUUGGGUGCACAUUGUCGGAAGUUCGAAUCCUCCCAUCCAGA